rnacentral:rRNA from 1 species
UACAGAGGUCUCAAGCGUUGUUCGGAUUCAUUGGGCGUAAAGGGCGCGUAGGCUGCGGGGCAAGUCGGGUGUGAAAUCUCAGAGCUCAACUCUGAAACUGCACUCGAUACUGCUUUGCUUGAGGACUGGAGAGGAGAUUGGAAUUCACGGUGUAGCAGUGAAAUGCGUAGAUAUCGUGAGGAAGACCAGUGGCGAAGGCGGAUCUCUGGGACGGUACUGACGCUGAGACGCGAAAGCGUGGGGAGCGAACAGG